rnacentral:rRNA from 1 species
GACGAACGCUGGCGGCGUGCUUAACACAUGCAAGUCGAACGGAAAGGCCCUGCUUUUGUGGGGUGCUCGAGUGGCGAACGGGUGAGUAACACGUGAGUAACCUGCCCUUGACUUUGGGAUAACUCCAGGAAACUGGGGCUAAUACCGGAUAGGAGCUCCUGCUGCAUGGUGGGGGUUGGAAAGUUUCGGCGGUUGGGGAUGGACUCGCGGCUUAUCAGCUUGUUGGUGGGGUAGUGGCUUGCCAAGGCUUUGACGGGUAGCCGGCCUGAGAGGGUGACCGGCCACAUUGGGACUGAGAUCCGGCCCAGCCUCCUCCGGGAGGAAGCAGUGGGGAAUAUUGCACAAUGGGCGGAAGCCUGAUGCAGCACCGCCGCGUGCGGGAUGACGGCCUUCGGGUUGUAAACCGCUUUCGCCUGUGACGAAGCGUGAGUGACGGUAAUGGGUAAAGAAGCACCGGCUAACUACGUG